AACGAACGCUGGCGGCAUGCCUAACACAUGCAAGUCGAACGAGACCUUCGGGUCUAAUGGCGCACGGGUGCGUAACGCGUGGGAACCUGCCCUUAGGUUCGGAAUAACUCCCCGAAAGGGGUGCUAAUACCGGAUAAUGUCUUCGGACCAAAGAUUUAUCGCCUUUGGAUGGGCCCGCGUUGGAUUAGCUAGUUGGUAGGGUAAAAGCCUACCAAGGCGACGAUCCAUAGCUGGCCUGAGAGGAUGAUCAGCCACACUGGGACUGAGACACGGCCCAGACUCCUACGGGAGGCAGCAGUGGGGAAUAUUGGACAAUGGGCGAAAGCCUGAUCCAGCAAUGCCGCGUGAGUGAUGAAGGCCUUAGGGUUGUAAAGCUCUUUUACCCGGGAUGAUAAUGACAGUACCGGGAGAAUAAGCUCCGGCUAACUCCGUG
rnacentral:rRNA from 1 species